AGUGAACGCUGGCGGCAGGCCUAACACAUGCAAGUCGAACGGCAGCGCAGCAGUAGCAAUACUGUGGGCGGCGAGUGGCGGACGGGUGAGGAAUACAUGGGAAUCUGCCCUGUCGUGGGGGAUAACGUAGGGAAACUUACGCUAAUACCGCAUACGACCUGAGGGUGAAAGCGGGGGACCGCAAGGCCUCGCGCAGCAGGAGCGGCCGAUGUCUGAUUAGCUAGUUGGUGGGGUAAAGGCCCACCAAGGCGACGAUCAGUAGCUGGUCUGAGAGGACGAUCAGCCACACUGGGACUGAGACACGGCCCAGACUCCUACGGGAGGCAGCAGUGGGGAAUUUUGGACAAUGGGGGCAACCCUGAUCCAGCAAUGCCGCGUGUGUGAAGAAGGCCUUCGGGUUGUAAAGCACUUUUGUCCGGAAAGAAAACCUCUGCCCUAAUACGGUGGGGGGAUGACGGUACCGGAAGAAUAAGCACCGGCUAACUACGUGCCAGCCGCCGCCGUAAAAC
rnacentral:rRNA from 1 species